UACGAAGGUGGCAAGCGUUGUUCGGAUUUACUGGGCGUACAGGGAGCGUAGGCGGUUGGAUAAGCCCUCCGUGAAAUCUCCAGGCUUAACCUGGAAAGUGCAGAGGGGACUGUUCAGCUAGAGGAUGGGAGAGGAGCGCGGAAUUCCCGGUGUAGCGGUGAAAUGCGUAGAGAUCGGGAGGAAGGCCGGUGGCGAAGGCAGCUCGCUGGGACGGUACUGACGCUGAGACGCGAAAGCGUGGGGAGCAAACAGG
rnacentral:rRNA from 1 species